rnacentral:rRNA from 1 species
UACGGAGGAUCCAAGCGUUAUCCGGAUUUAUUGGGUUUAAAGGGUGCGUAGGCGGACUGAUAAGUUAGAGGUGAAAUGUCCGAGCUCAACUCGGGAACUGCCUCUAAUACUGUUGAUCUAGAGAGUAGAUGCGGUAGGCGGAAUGUAUGGUGUAGCGGUGAAAUGCUUAGAGAUCAUACAGAACACCGAUUGCGAAGGCAGCUUACCAAUCUAUAUCUGACGUUGAGGCACGAAAGCGUGGGGAGCAAACAGG